rnacentral:rRNA from 1 species
AUUGAACGCUGGCGGCAGGCCUAACACAUGCAAGUCGAGCGGAUGAAGGGAGCUUGCUCCUGGAUACAGCGGCGGACGGGUGAGUAAUGCCUAGGAAUCUGCCUGGUAGUGGGGGAUAACGUCCGGAAACGGGCGCUAAUACCGCAUACGUCCUGAGGGAGAAAGUGGGGGAUCUUCGGACCUCACGCUAUCAGAUGAGCCUAGGUCGGAUUAGCUAGUUGGUGGGGUAAAGGCCUACCAAGGCGACGAUCCGUAACUGGUCUGAGAGGAUGAUCAGUCACACUGGAACUGAGACACGGUCCAGAAUCCGACGGGAGGCAGCAGUGGGGAAUAUUGGACAAUGGGCGAAAGCCUGAUCCAGCCAUGCCGGGUGUGUGAAGAAGGUCUUCGGAUUGUAAAGCACUUUAAGUUGGGAGGAAGGGCAGUAAGUUAAUACCUUGCUGUUUUGACGUUACCAACAGAAUAAGCACCGGCUAACUUCGU